rnacentral:lncRNA from 1 species
GUCACCCCCGGCCUCUGGCUGCGGUGGCAGGACUUACUAAUGAGGCUGAAACUUCAGAUUCCAGAGAAGAGAGGAUGCUUUGGAGCAGGGAGCAGCAUGGAUUUCCAAGUCUGGGGUGAGUUACCUCUGCAUCUGUCAGCAAGCACAAGCCAGGAUGCCAUGUAGAUUUGCACUGAAGACUGUCUUUGACUCCCUGAAUAAGAAAGCAUCUUUGCUCCCUUCCUCUAAUGAGCUGAGAGCUCCUGGUUUCCAACUCUGCAGUGCAUGUGUGAAAUUGGCCAGCAGGAUCAGAGCUGGGCCUACAAGGUAAGUGUGAGCAAGUUUCUAAUGAAGUCAUUGCAUUUAUGUAAGUUGUUCUUUGUUCAGCAGCUCAAAUUGGACCAUGGGCUUGAUAUUUCAAGUAGUAACAUUACUUUGCUGUUGAAAUACAUGGUGAUGUUUGAGAACUUGCAAAUUCUUCCUUGUCGUCUUUGCGGGCCAUGAGGCUAUCUGUGGUUUGGGUAUGAGAAGAGAGAGGGAUAGAAUUUGCUUGGGCAACCCCACAAGCAGCCCUUGUGCUACUUAAAACUUGUGGGGACUAAGCAGGCAGUCACCUAUCUCUAACCUAUGACCUGAAUUACUCCACUGUGCCCAGCAUAAACUGGAAAGAGAUGAGUUUGUGUCCUAAUACACUUUUUUGAAAGACUAGCAAUUGAGCUUGCUGUGUGAAGUCCUCCCCUUGAGUUACUAAGAGGUUUUAUUCUGGAUAGCAUCCUGCAUAUGUUUUUCAGUCACAGGCGGGAAUAAUUCCGGGGAAGCUGCUUUGCUCUGUUGCCUAAUUAAUAAUACAUCACUUUAAAAAAAAAA